GGGCACUCACGUCCCAUGAAUGAAGCAGCGGGAGCUGGGGAGGAACGUACAGAAUGCAGGGCUAUGGGGAAAUAGCCUCUCAAACGGCCAGCACCAGCCCUACGGGCCGAACGGUCGCGCUUUAGCGUGUUGCCAGGCGGCCAAAUGUGACUUGAAAACGCAAGCACCUUGCAAACCAUUAAAGUAAAGCCAGCUGGAGGAUUCGGCUCUCUGUAAAGAGCUGGCAGCUUUAGAAAGUUGAUGCAACUUUCCAAAAAAAAGUGGUCAGGCCAGGCACCGCCCUGCGCGUCAGUAAUAUUAAACAUGCAUUUAAAUCAGGUGGAUGAAUAUUAAUCGGAGGGAUAAGUGCAGCUCUUCCUCCGUUUACACACGGGAUGGGGCUGGGGGAAAAAACAGAGUGAAGGAGUUUUAUUUUGCAGAGGGAGUGCAACAGUGCAGUUACACACACACAUACAGAGACAGAGACUGAGCCUCCCUAUUUACUCCUGGUCACUGGGAAGGUGAACCAGGACUCAGCAGCUCAGGAUAUCAGCAAUGGCUCUAGCAGAUGCUGUCCUCCCUUCGAUUAGCUCGUUCUCCGCUUGCAGCAACUUCCAGGAGAAACAAAACGCCAUCCUCAAGUGGUGGGAAGUAGACAGGAU